rnacentral:rRNA from 1 species
AUGAAUCCUUGUGUUGUGAGCAGAGAAAAAUCUCGGUGGUUACUGGCUAGUUACUGCUGCGAUCUUGUUGUAAUCCCAAUACAUGCUUUCAAGGAAAAAGAGUUAUGGUUGAGCCCCGGCUGCACUGCCUAUCAGCACAUACAAAUACACAUUCAUCUAAAAAAUGCAUUGCAUUUCAUACACACUCACAUUCACUUUAAUUGUCCAUGGUCAACACAUACAACGAAGUACUUGAAUCUCGGGCUGUGGGCGGCGGCGGCAAGGCGGCUCGGCCCUCUGGAGUGGCGAUUUCCAUUUGCCGCGCCGGCAUCAUAG